AUCGAUCCAUCAAUCAUCUAUCCAUCCAUCCAUCAUCUAUCGAUCCAUCCAUCAUCUAUCUAGCCAGUCAUCAUCCAUCCAUCCAUCCAUCCAUCAUCCGCCCUGGUCGUCUGUUCGACUUUCUGGAUCGAACACUGACUCUUUUACUGAGGAAUCAGAUCUUUGUCUCCCUCUCGUCCACAUCAUGCUGUAGAAGUUGUUGUGUAUUGAGCGCACAUCUACUGUCUGGAUCACGUGCGUCAUCUCACAGCAGGGAAGUCACGAGUGCGGCUGAUGCUGCUGCUGCUGCUGCUGCUGUCGGGUUGAGGCGCACUUCUCGCUGCAGCCUGCAGGGGGCGGUGUGAGCCGCGCCGUUGAGCAGCGAUGGAACAGCUGGGUUUUUGCAGUAUUCGUGUGUUUGUGUGCGUGUGUGUUUGACGGGAAGAUGUUGAAGGGGGAAAUAAGGUGGUAAAUAGAGGUGUGUAUGUGUGUGUGUGUGUGUGUGAGAGAGAGAGCUGCCGUUGCCUCCAGCUGUCCGUCAUCGGAGUCGACGAAUGACGCGUGCGUGUCCAUGUUUGUUUACAUCGCUGGCGAUGUUGUGGGGUGAUGAUGCUUGUUUACUGUACGUGCACGAGCUUUAAUGACUCACUAAUGACUUGCUUUUCGUGACGUGUGCUUGAGCUGGCACACGCCCUCAAGUCCUUGAAUCAGUGUGUCGCUGUACAUGUCUCGCUUGCGUGUUCCCGACAUUGCGUUGUGUACGUGUGUGUGUGUGUGUGUGUGUGUGUGUGUGUGUGUGUGGUUGCAGGGUUGAAUAUGUUUUGUGUGCGAGCGAUAAAGAUCGAAACUUUUCCACUUGUUCUCGACAAAAGCACCUAAAUCCAUGCAGGGACACAACUUUUAAUGCACGCACACACACACACACACACACACACACACACAUUUACGUUUGCAAUCUCUAUCCGUCAAUACGUCCCUUAUAUGGAAGAAGGUAGAAAAGCUGCGGUAAGUAAAUUGCUCAGGAGAGCAAACUAGUCCCUUUGGAUGUGUGUGUGUGUGUGUGUGUGUAUGUGUGUGUGGGUAUUGUGUGCAUAGGCCCCCAUGCAUCAUGGCCGUCAGACCCACACGGACCUGUAACGUCCAUCAAUCUCAAACACUGACCCUCCACUGUGAAAGCGACGGCGUUUGCAGUGAGCCAAUCGAAACGGGAGAGUGGGCGGAGCGACGAGUGAGGCGUCCAAUUGAGAGCGAGAGCACGGAAUCAGGGUCAUCUGAGCAACGCUGCUGCAUUGGCAGGAAAGGAUGGUGUGUGUGUGUGUGUGUGUGUGUGUGUGUGUGUGUGUGUGCGCGUGUGUGUGUGUUUCCUGCAGGCCCGGUCUAUCCAAUCACUCGCCAUCAGUGUUUCUGUCAGUCGGGCCAAGAAGAGCCGUCCACGGCGCGCCGUCUUCAUGGCUGCCCAAAGAGAGACACACACACACACACACACGCACACACACUACUCGGGUCCGAUCGCACACUCAUGAUGCUUGAAAUACCCACACGUGUUUAUUGUUGUUAAAAUUACCCCCCCCAAAGGACACCGGUCCACAGUGUCUUCAUAUCACUCGCUCACUCAUGUUUAACAGCCCGGGAAUCAAAAUGAAACUACGCGUUCACCUGAAGGCUCAGAGACGCCGUUGACAUGAAUCAAUCAGAGAGGAGACUUCGGGAGGGAAAGAAAGGAGGAAAAAUAGAGCAGAACAGAGCAGGUGUUUGGGUUUUUAAGUUGUUAACGUUAACGUAGUAUUUAAAAUAACCAGCAAAAUACUGCCGAUUGUCUUCAAAAACGUCACUGUCGACAGCUUUAAAUUGACUUACUGUUUGGGAGAAGAGUCGGAGAUAAAUGACCAAACCCUUUUAGUUGAACCGGCCCUUUAAGGCCAGCUCAUUAAUUAGUGCUUGAUCAGAGGGAGCCGGCCUGUAAAGGUCAUGCAGCCCGCGCAGGCCGUGAAUACAGGCGACGUGUCUCUGGCAGCGGAGACCUCGUCCGUAUUCUUCUCAUCCAGAUGAACACAUCGUGGCGGGGAGUCUCUUCCGAUCUCUCCUCCCUCCUCGUUCUCUGUUUAGAGUGAUUUAUACUCUUUGUUUUUCCUCCUUUCUGUCUCUCUCUCCUUCCUCCAUUAAUUACGCUGAUUCUCCUCUGCCGGCGUCUCUGAGACUGGAUCAUUAUUUACCGUCCCGCUCCCUCCACCCUCCUCUUCUUCGUCUUUAUUUAGAACGCAGCCUCCCCCCCCCUGUAUGCCUGUUAUACUGCGGCCUAUUUUACACCCGUCAUAUUCAACUUAAGGGUCCUAUAAGCUUGGUUCCUCACCAGCCUUCAUCCUUCCCCUCCCCCCUCCUCCCACAAACUCCCACUUGUUACUCCUCAUUCCCCCUCCAUCUCUCUCCUCUCUGUCUCUCGCGGUGAGAGAAAGCGUGUUUCUCCACAGUCGAUGGAUGUCAGAGACGAUGAUUCUGCGAUCGGAUAACAAGGCAAAUCUGAUGUGAGACGGCGGCGAGAUGACAGAGGGGAGAUAAACGAAGAGAACGGAGGGAAAAGAAUGAGAGGGAGGAUAAUUGAGAGGGGGACGGGGGGGUUAACAGGGUUGGGGAAGGGAUGCGUACAGGAUGUGAGAAUGAUUGCGAGGAGGAAGAACGGACGGACGGGAUGAUUGGCUGCGGGACGACGGAGACUUGAGCCGUCGUUUCUUACAUCGUGCAGAGCUUUAAAACGCGGCAUAUGUGCGAUUGUCCGGCGACUUUUCCUUUUACCCGAUCUCCUUCCCUUUGCCUCAAAAUGACGGAGGCCGUGCGCGCGUUUGUGUGUUUUUAACGGAGUCAUUUAAGUAGACUAUUUACAAACGGCCGUGAUGAUGACGGCUGCAGAGUUAGUGCUCCUCAGAAUAAUGCCUGAGGAUGCAUUCAGACACCCUAAGUGCCACCGCCAUCUAUCACUGUGAUGGGCUCUGUGUGUGUGUGGUGUAGGUUUGCGUCCCUGGAGGAGGGUUUUAAGUUUGUGUGCAGCUCUGCGGCUGCAGAAGUCUAAACAGUGACGCGCGAAAUGAAGCUUCGUAAAGAUAAUCGAUGCGGUGAUUGAUGAUGACUGAUCUAAAAUUGAAUAGGGCGAGAUUGGUCUUAAGGUACCUCCUCUUUCCGUUAGUUCGUCUACACAUGCAGACGCCUCUGAAGUCUCCAUGAAGAGCGUUUUGUGGUCCAUUCACAAAAGGACGGUGCAGGACGGUGCCGUAUAAUUAAUGUAGGAUUACACUUUUUAAAAAGCUCCUAAAGUGGUGAAACACAGAACGUCGUGUCAGUUUGGGAGGCACUUGGAACCGGUGAUUAAUCCCAAAACGUCGCACAAGUAGUCUGUUCGCUAACGUUGCUUUAACCGGACGUUGAAAAGUUCCCGGUUUGACGCCGAUGAGAAGAGCUGCUUCUAAGUAGAUAUUCUAGAAGCUCGACUGAGGUACCAGAGGGUCGGAUUCUCCCCCUCCGGCUCCAUCCUCGGCCCCCUGCAGUCGUGGGCUCCUCCCCCUCCGCCUGCAGCAGACUGUGGCUUCACGCCGCCGCCGGCCCCCCCCCGCGGUGAGCCCACGCGGCGCUGACUGGGGGGGGGGGGCCUGUGUUGUAGUGCCGGGCUCGCUGGAGGGAGGAUCAGUAACCCAGGAUUUCUCGGGGGAAGACCGAGCUGCCGGCUCCAAAGCGACUACCGACUUUAGCUUAUUCUAAAAAUGUCUAAAUCUAAUUGCGGAUUGUUAAAGCUGUUCAGUCCAGAUUGUGACGCUGUGCUUUGUUCCAGUCCGUAAUCACACAGAACAUCCCGCAUGCAGUGAGAGGUGAGGCCGCGUGUUAUUGGACCAGCAUUAAUUAUUCCUUUACCGGGUGAAUGAUGGAUCCACGUUCACAUUCCGACAGGCACAAAGUUGGGCCCACUUCCUCUGCUCGCGCUACUCGGCAGGCGGUGGGAUAAUGCAGCCUGCCCACCUGCGAGGAGAAGUGAGCUGCGUUCCCCGUCAGCCAUCCGGUGGGCCUCUGGUGGUCCAAUUAGAGGGAGGAACCGAGCAGUGCUCAUGCCACUAAUCGUGUAUCAAGCCAUUUUGAAAACAUCCCUUUUUCUUUUUGUUACUGUUUAAGUAUUUUUCCUUCAGUUCCAGGAGGCAAUGCAAAAUCGGUGCUUGAACCAAAACCCUACCAACAAAUGUUUGGUUGUUAUACAGAAAUACUGGGACUUUUGGCAUCCUUCCCUUCUGCUGCCGUUCCCUCCUUCCUCCCAUCCGUGACCCAGAUUUUGGAGCAGCAGCCAACGCAGACAUCUGGGCUGUUUGGCUCGCGUGCAGGAGAAGGCAUGACACCUCUGUCUAUGGGGGGGGAAAUAAGAGAGAGCACCUGAUAGGGUGCAAAGGAGUGCAUCUGAGGGAGUGAGAGAAAGGAGGAGUCGACGCACAUGCAGCGAGUCAUGCACAGCUCCAACCAGACAGACACUGGGUUACAGCUGUUAGCUGUUAGCUAUCAGAGCUAGAGGUAUUACUUUGGACGAUAUUACUUUGGACGAUAUUACUUUGGACGAUAUUACUUUGGACGAUACUACUUUGGACCAGUGGCGGCUGCUGGAUUCUUUUUUUGGUUUCAGUAAUUAUCUCAGUAUGAUUCAAUACAAAAAAAAAGAAAACACUCAUUAUUACUUAUUCAAACAAUUCAGUAUGUCAAUGACUAUAUAUAUAACUAAAACAAUAUUCAGAGUAUGAUAUAUUGAUAAAUAAAUAUCCAAUAUAAAUAUCAUAUAAUAAAUAUUUUAUACUAAAGGAUAAAUAUAUUACAAUAUAAAUAUAUUUAUAUAAAAUCUAUUACAACAUGUAGAAGUCUCUUGAAGGACACUGCACGUGGUCGCUCUGGUU
ensembl:lncRNA